AUACGGAGGGUGCAAGCGUUAAUCGGAAUUACUGGGCGUAAAGCGCUCGUAGGCGGCUUGUUAAGUCGGAUGUGAAAGCCCCGGGCUCAACCUGGGAACUGCAUUCGAUACUGGCAGGCUAGAGUAUAGUAGAGGCAAGUGGAAUUCCGGGUGUAGCGGUGAAAUGCGUAGAUAUCCGGAGGAACAUCAGUGGCGAAGGCGACUUGCUGGACUAAUACUGACGCUGAGGAGCGAAAGCGUGGGGAGCAAACCGGAUUAGAUACCCGAGUAGUCC
rnacentral:rRNA from 1 species